UGGUUCUCCCCGAAAGCUAUUUAGGUAGCGCCUCGGACGAAUACCAUAGGGGGUAGAGAACUGUUUCGGCUAGGGGGUCAUCCCGACUUACCAAACCGAUGCAAACUCCGAAUACCUAUGAGUACUAUCCGGGAGACAGACUGCGGGUGCUAACGUCCGUAGUCAAGAGGAAAACAAUCCAGACCGCCAGCUAAGGCCCCAAAAUCAUAGUUAAGUGGGAAACGAUGUGGGAAGGCAUAGACAGCUAGGAGGUUGGCUUAGAAGCAGCCACCCUUUAAAGAAAGCGUAAUAGCUCACUAGUCGAGUCGGCCUGCGCGGAAGAUGUAACGGGGCUAAAACUAUGUGCCGAAGCUGCGGAU
rnacentral:rRNA from 1 species